UCUAGAGCUAAUACAUGUACGUUUUGGCGAAAGCCAAUUGCAUUUAUUAGAACAAUCCAACCGCGGGGGCAACUCCGUGUGGUGAGUCUAGAUAACUUUGCAGAUCGUAUGGCCUCGAGCUGACGACGUUUCGAUUGAAUUUCUGCCCUAUCAACUUUGUUGGCAGUGUAGUGGACUGCCAAGGUUUUUACGGGUAACGGGGGAUCAGGGUUCGAUUCCGGAGAGGGAGCCUGAGAAACGGCUACCACAUCCAAGGAAGGCAGCAGGCGCGCAAAUUACCCAAUCCAGACAAUGGGAGGUGGUGACGAAAAGUACCGGAUGGCGAUUUUAUCGCCAGUCUGGAAUGAAAACAAUUUAAGCAAUUGAAUUGAGUAACGACUGGAGGGCAAGUCUGGUGCCAGCAGCCGCGGUAAUUCCAGCUCCAGUAGCGUACAGCAACGUUGCUGCGCUUAAAACGCUCGUAGUUGGAUCACUCACUGUGCUUCGGUGUACACUGUGCGUGCCCGUCGCUCGUCAAACAGGUUAUUGACCUCGUCACUGUCGGGUGGGUGCGCCGUUGUAAUUUAGCCGUUGUGCAGUAAUUGCACGUGAGGAUGGCCGUUGACCUUUAGUGCGUUGAGGGUCGUGUCUCACGGGGUGUGCCUUGAGUAAAUCAGAGUGCUUAAAGCAGGCUUUACGCUUGAAUGUUAUUAGCAUGGAACGAACAAUCGCGUAUGGUGUGUGCUGGGAACGGUAGGUGGCGCUCGCGCCGCUUACUACAGCAUACGACACCGACCGCCAAUUACGGAUGUUGGUUCCGUAUUGGGGUACUGAUUAAGAGGAGCGGUUGGGGGCAUUGGUAUU
rnacentral:rRNA from 1 species